CUUCGGGUCUAGCGGCGGACGGGUUAGUAACGCGUGGGAACAUACCCAAUGGUACGGAAUAGCCUCUGGAAACGGAGAUUAAUACCGUAUGUGUCCUUCGGGAGAAAGAUUUAUCGCCAUUGGAUUGGCCCGCGUUGGAUUAGGUAGUUGGUGGGGUAAUGGCCUACCAAGCCUACGAUCCAUAGCUGGUUUGAGAGGAUGAUCAGCAACACUGGGACUGAGACACGGCCCAGACUCCUACGGGAGGCAGCAGUGGGGAAUCUUCGGCAAUGGGCGCAAGCCUGACCGAGCCAUGCCGCGUGAGCGAUGAAGGCCUUAGGGUUGUAAAGCUCUUUCGCCAGGGAUGAUAAUGACAGUACCUGGUAAAGAAACCCCGGCUAACUCCGUGCCAGCAGCCGCGGUAAUACGGAGGGGGUUAGCGUUGUUCGGAAUUACUGGGCGUAAAGCGCGCGUAGGCGGAUCAGAAAGUUGGGGGUGAAAUCCCGGGGCUCAACCCCGGAACUGCCUCCAAAACUCCUGGUCUUGAGUUCGAGAGAGGUGAGUGGAACUCCGAGUGUAGAGGUGAAAUUCGUAGAUAUUCGGAAGAACAC
rnacentral:rRNA from 1 species